UAAUUAGAUAUGUACAAGUUAUUGAAAAAUAUGUUUCGUCAUCACAGUUGUUAUUUGCAUCCUGUUAGUGCAUAGUAUAGUUUAACAUCAUCAUAUGUAUUGGUAAUCAUGGUAAUUUUAGGGGUAUAUUUCAAGGGUAAUCAUAUUUACCGGUAAUCAUGUUAAUUUUAGGGGUAUAUUUCAAUGGUAAUCAUAUUUAGCAGUAAUCAUGGUAAUUUUAGGGGUAUAUUUCAAGGGUAAUCAUAUUUAGCAGUAAUCAUGGUAAUUUUAGGGGUAUAUUUCAAGGGUAAUCAUAUUUACCGGUAAUCAUGUUAAUUUUAGGGGUAUAUUUCAAGGGUAAUCAUAUUUAGCAGUAAUCAUGGUAAUUUUAGGGGUAUAUUUCAAGGGUAAUCAUAUUUAGCAGUAAUCAUGUUAAUUUUAGGGGUAUAUUUCAAGGGUAAUCAUAUUUAGCAGUAAUCAUGGUAAUUUUAGGGGUAUAUUUCAAGGGUAAUCGUAUUUAGCAGUAAUCAUGGUAAUUUUAGGGGUAUAUUUCAAGGGUAAUCAUAUUUAGCAGUAAUCAUGGUAAUUUUAGGGGUAUAUUUCAAGGGUAAUCAUAUUUAGCAGUAAUCAUGGUAAUUUUAGGGGUAUAUUUCAAGGGUAAUCGUAUUUAGCAGUAAUCAUGGUAAUUUUAGGGGUAUAUUUCAAGGGUAAUCAUAUUUACCGGUAAUCAUGGUAAUUUUAGGGGUAUAUUUCAAGGGUAAUCAUAUUUAGCAGUAAUCAUGGUAAUUUUAGGGGUAUAUUUCAAGGGUAAUCAUAUUUAGCAGUAAUCAUGGUAAUUAUAGGGGUAUAUUUCAAGGGUAAUCAUAUUUAGUGGUAAUCAUGGUAAUUAUAGGGGUAUAUUUCAAGGGUAAUCAUAUUUAGCAGUAAUCAUGGUAAUUUUAGGGGUAUAUUUCAAGGGUAAUCAUAUUUAGCAGUAAUCAUGGUAAUUUUAGGGGUAUAUUUCAAGGGUUAUCAUAUUUAGUGGUAAUCAUGGUAAUUUUAGGGGUAUAUUUCAAGGGUUAUCAUAUUUAGCAGUAAUCAUGGUAAUUAUAGGGGUAUAUUUCAAUGGUUAUCAUAUUUACCGGUAAUCAUGGUAAUUUUUAGGGGUAUAUUUCAAGGGAAAUCAUAUUUACCGGUAAUCAUGGUAAUUUUAGGGGUAUAUUUCAAGGUUAAUCAUUUUUACCGGUAAUCAUGGUAAUUAUAGGGGUAUAUUUCAAGAGUUAUCAUAUUUACCGGUAAUCAUAGUAAUUUUAGGGGUAUAUGUAUAUGUUUGGGGUAAUCAUGUUUAGAGGUAAUCUUGGUAAUUUAAGGGGUGUAUUUCAAGGGUAAUCAUAUUUAGUGGUAAUCAUGGUAAUUAUAGGGGUAUAUUCAAGGGUAAUCAUAUUUAGCAGUAAUCAUGGUAAUUUUGGGGGUAUAUUUUAAGGGUAAUCAUAUUUACCGGUAAUCAUGAUGUAAGUGGUAUCAUAUUUCAGAGGUAGUCAUAUUAAGCAGCAGUCUUGCUAAUGUUAGACUACUGUAUGUCACGAUUUAAGAGAACACUAUAAAACUUAGCGUUUGUCAUAUUUCAACAGAAAUUCUCAAUUUAGUUGUAGAUACACAAAUGACUACCAUAUCACUGAGAUAAUUCUAUGGUAAAUAUGUUAAUAUUUCAGGGUUUUUCUUUAACAGGUUAAAAAAGAUUUAUUUUACAAUAACAUCUAAAUAAGUCUGCUCAUAACCUUGUAUUACCGUAGAUUUAACCAAUAUGAAAUGUAUCUUGCUUGUAAGAAGCAUUUCCAUUGGCUUAAUAUUAUGGUAUCAGCCCACCACGUAAAAAUGACGUCGCUGUUUGUAACGUCGCUUUUGAUUGGCUGAUAUGGCGGAGUAAUGAUUUCUAUGAGAAAAGAACUAUACAUAAAGGUUGAUUUCAAAAGGGAUUGUGUAUAGUAAAUUAAAAUAUAGGGAUUAGCUGAAAUAUAUAAUAUUUUAUGGAUGUAACACUCAAACAUAAACUACUUUGUAGUUUAUUUGGAGUACACUCCGGUUUUGUGUCAUAUCUCCAUAACAUAACAAUACUUAACUGAUUGUGUUGUAUGGGUGAUUGACUAUAUUUAUAAUGUUUUAUCAAACAUCACAUUUUUUGAAUGAGUGAAUGAUUUUUUUAUUUUCAGUUUUAAAUAACAUUUCAUUCGUUAAUGAUAGCAUUGAACACAUAUUUAUAUAAAAAAAAAUUGCUUAACGUAAAUAUAUACAAUUUAAGUAAUAGGAAAUUAUACAGAUGUAUGGCAUAAUUUACAAGGGAGAUAACACGCCACAAGUUUCAUGGAAAGAGAAAUAUAAGAGUAACAAUGUUAGAAAACCACUCGAGACUUUCCGUCUUUCUCACGGAAAAGCCCGAGUGGGUUUUGGUUUUAAGGGUGUAAAAGUCCGUCAUUGUAUUUUCAUGCUUUAUUUUUGCAUGCAGAUACUUCACAGUGUAGCUUUAGAUCUCCUGUUCAUUUUCUACUAUUAUAUAUUAUUGCGCUGUUGAAAAUGCCAUCCUAUAACAGGCAAAACAUUUAAAUUACCUCCAGUGUAGAUAAACACACGUGCAUACCCAUAUAUGGAGGUGUUUGUAUUUUUUUUUAUGUCCCAUUAAAAAAUACUUUUGUAGAAGUGAAGAUAAAUGGAGCGAGUGUUACAGUUUGUUUACGAGGUACCCUGUUAAAGUAUGCACAAGAAGUAUGUGAUUAUUUUGUCUGGUGGACACAAAGGAAAGCAUUAGGUUGACACCGCCAGUUUUCCUUUGUUAAACAUAGUGACGUCAUAAAUGCAUGGUAUACGAUGUCAUCUGCGAUUUUUUUCAUUUCAAUAAAAUUUCGACAGUGCAGAACCUCGCCAAAAGUGAGUCUAUAAAUGCAACAUUUACAAUAUAAUUUAUGAAUGUUUACCAAUUUUUUAUGGAAUAAUCGUGAAUUAUCUAAAAUUCUCGUUUGUAUUGUACAAUUUCGUUUCAAUAUCUCAGGUGACUUCACGAAAAUUAAAUAAGAAAAAAGGAGUAAUGCAUGAAAAACAGUAAAAUUACACAAGUAGACUCCCUUUUGCGCCGGUGCUGUAGGACACGGGGCAUAUUGUUGAUAAGAUAUUUCCAUAUUAUUUAUCCUUUGGAGAAAUAAGAAAAAAUAUCUACAUCCUGUGUAUGAUUUUCUAUAUCCGCCAUGCAUACAUUGUGAUGAUAAUAUGUCUCCCACCUGGUGAAAAUCGGCUAGAACGGAAGAUAUGCAAGAUACUGUCUAUAUAAAAAUGUUAAAACCAGCUAGCGUGAUAAAUUAUACAUUAAACCCUCUAAAUUAAAAAAAAUGCAUACAGUGUUUCGGCAACAGAUGGUAAUCCUUCCAAAACGAGGACACAACACUUGAGCCCGAGAGGCUUUUUAAAAUCAUCGUUUCAGUUUCCACUGCAAGGCUUACGAUCGUGAUAGCGGACGCUAAGAUCAUUAAUGAUACUAAUCUUUGUUGUACUUUGCAGAUAUGCAUGAUUUUAUAUCAAAAAUUAAUUAAUAAAAAAAUAUUAACUUUAAUGUACCUAGUUAAACUUAAUUAAUUUGUUUAUAGAAUUAUAAAAUGGCGACCGUCUGUGACGGUUAAAGAAAUGGAAUAUGUUUGCUAUGCCUGUAAAGUGGCAGACCGGUAAUGGCAGACCAGUGAAGUCUUUCUCCCUCCUGAAAUCACUAAUUUGAGUGAAAUCUUCAGCAGUCACCAAAGGUUUACUUCAAUUUAUGAUUAGCUGGGGGGGAUUUUCAAUCAUCUCAUACAAAGGUCUCUACUGUAACAGGCGUAUCUUAACGGGGGUGGAGAGUAAGCUGCCCGUUAGGGGCAUGUCUAGUCUUAUAUAAAAAAAAAUCCAGAAAUACCUACUUAAUAUAUAGGUAUUUCUGGUAUUUUUUUUUAUAUAAGUCUAGACAUGCCCCUGUGGUUAUACCAUGGAGAAACGUCGAACUCAAUCAGAUAUUAAUAAAAAAAAUUAACGACUGAGUCGAUAUAAAUUCAAAUUUUAACCCACCAUCAUCAGAUGUUCCCCUUGGUACCUAGUUUCGCCAAUUGAAGUUAGAUGUUUCAUCCGGAAAAGAAAUGGCUGACAGUCGGCCAUCUUGGAUUUUGAUAAUUGAGGUUUGUUAUUGCUCUUUCUUAAAAACAAAAACAAAAACGGAAGGAUAUUUCUCAAACGUUAAGUAGGUUCACAUUUGUCCCUAUUUGUGCCAAUUUAAUUUAGGUUGUUGAUAAGAAAACAAAAUAUCCGACAGUCAGCGAACUUGGUUUUUGAGAAUUGAAGUUGUGUUUCACACUUCGCUUGUAUAUUUCACUUGUCCUUGUUAUCAAAUUAUUAUGAGUAAAAGAAUAAAGAAGCGGAGAGAAGAGAAAAGACCAGUCAGACAUGGAACCAAUGAAUAUCAUUCUAUGGUGGACGCGAAGAUCUGGGAUCUCUUGUUUUAUGAUAAAUUUGAUAAAAAAACGGUUGUAAUGGUAUUCAAGUCUGUGUUAUCAAAACCAACCGAAUUUCUAUUCCUGACAAUUAGUCCGGAAUCGAAGACUGUUAGUCUAAACUCCGAGACAAUUAGUCUUGAAUCGAAGACUGUCAGUCUAAACUCCGAGACAAUUAGUCUUGAAUCGAAGACUGUUAGUCUAAACUCCGAGACAAUUAGUCUGAAAUCGAAGACUGUUAGUCUAAACUCCGAGACAAUUAGUCUGAAAUCGAAGACUGUCAGUCUAAACUCCGAGACAAUUAGUCUUGAAUCGAAGACUGUUAGUCUAAACUCCGAGACAAUUAGUCUCAAAUCGAAGAUUGUUAGUCUCAAAUCCGAGCAAAUUCGUCUGAAAUCGGACAUAAUCUGUCUGAAAUCAGAGAUAAUAAAUCUGAUGUCUUGCAAAAUUAAUCUGAAAUCCGAGGCUAUAAGCCACAAAUAUGGUAUAAUUGGACUGAAAUUUGAGAAAAUUAGUCUAUAUUCUUACAAAUUUUGGCUGAAAUCUGCGACAAUCAAACUGAAAUCAGAGCAAAUUAGACUGAACUCCGAUACAUUUAGUCUGAAUCAGACACAAAUCUCAAAUUCGUGGCAGUUCGUAUAAUAUUUGAGAAAAAUAACCUCCAAUCCGAUACAAUAAGUCGUUUAUACUAUCUAUAAAGAGUGCGUGCGUUGGCUAUCCGAUUAUAUUUUGGCUUGAAUUAAAUUGGCAUAUCAUAUCAAAUAUUUGAUUAAAUGUAUUUGAAAUAUUCUAGAGGUGUUGAGCAUUUGCCAUUUUUAAUUGCCAAGUUUACCUACAAAAUAUACUAUAACUUGUUUCGAGCGUACAAACUUGACAGGACAGCUUUUACUUCACUCCUAGUUGACACUGGUAUAUUAAAUUGGUGGUCAGUUAGCUUCAUAGGACUGUACUAACUAGCCGAGGUUCCUCUGACCCUGACAUCGUGUCUGGUGCAGAGGAAACUCGGGCUAUGUACUACUGUUCCAACUUGACUCGAGUGCACAAACUUAUCUCGGGUGUAUUAACUUGACUCUGAUGUGUUGAUGUGCCUGCUCUAACUCGAUUCGGUAGUGUUCACUUGACUCAGAUGUAUUAACUUGACAAGACGGUUCUAACUUAACGCUGGUGUAUUAACUCGACUCGGUGUACUGACUUGACUCAGGCUUAUGAACUUGACUCGAAUGUGUUAACUUGACUGCUGUAUAACGAGUUACUGUUCUAACUCGACUCGGUGUACUGACUUAGCUUAGAUGCAUUAACUUGACAAGCUUAUUCCAACUCGACUCGGUAUAUUGACUUGACUCAAAUGUAUUGACUCGACUCGGGUGUGUUUACUUGACUCAGAUGUAUUAACUUGACAAGACAGUUCUAACUCGACUCGAGUGCAUUAACUCGACUCGGUAUACUGACUUGACUCUAGUGUACUAACUUGACUCUGGUGCAUUAACUCGACUCGGUGUAUUGAUUGGACUCAGAUGUAUAAACUUGACAAGACUUCUAACUCGACUCGAAUGUGUUAACUUGACUGCUGUAUAACGAGUGAAUGUUCUCACUUGACUCGGGUGUGUUAACUUGACUAGGUGUACUAACUUAACUCUGGUGUAUUAACUUUACACAGCUGUUCUCACUUGAAUGGUGUAUUGACUCGACACGGUAUACAGACUUGACUCAGAUUUAUUAACUUGACUGUUCUAAAUUGACUUGGAUAUGUUAACUUGACAAGACAGUUCUAACUCGACUCGGGUGCAUUAACUCAACUCUGUACUGACUUGACUCUGGUGUAUUUACUCAACUCGGUGUUCUGACUUGACUCAGAUGUAUUAACUUGACAAUACUUUUCUAACUUGACUCGGAUUUGUUAACAUGACUCGGGUGUGUUAACUUGACUCGGGUGUGUUAACUUGACUCGGGCGUAUUAACUCAACUCUGUACUGACUUGACUCUGGUGUAUUAACUCAACUCGGUGUUCUAACUUGACUCAGAUGUAUUAACUUGACAAUACUUUUCUAAUUUGACUCGGGUGUGUUAACUUGACUCGGGUGUAUUAACUUGACAAUACUUUUCUAAUUUGACUCGGGUAUGUUAACUUGACUCGGGUGUGUUAACUUGACUCGGGUGUAUUAACCCGACUCUGGUGUGUUAACUUGACUCUGGUGUAUUAACUCGACUCGGGUGUAUUAACUCGACUCGGGUGUAUUAACUCGACUCGGGUGUAUUAACUUGACUCGGUGUAUUAACUCGACUCGGAUGUAUUAACUCGACUCGGGUGUAUUAACUUGACUCGGUGUAUUAACUUGACUCGGGUGUGUUAACUUGACUCGGGUGUGUUAACUUGACUGGUGUAUUAAUUUGACUCGGGUGUGUUAACUUGACUCGGGUGUGAUAACUUGACUCGGGUGUGUUAACUUGACUCGGGUGUGUUAACUUGACUCGGGUGUGUUAACUCGACUCGGGUGUAUUAACUCGACUCGGUGUAUUAACUUGACUCGGGUGUGUUAACUUGACUCGGGUGUGUUAACUUGACUGGUGUAUUAAUUUGACUCGGGUGUGUUAACUCGACUCUGGUGUAUUAACUUGACUCGGGUGUGUUAACUUGACUUGGGUGUGUUAACUUGACUCGGGUGUGUUAACUGGACUCGGGGUGUGUUAACUUGACUCGGGUGUAUUAACUUGAUGGAGUAUGUUGGGUUGAUGUAUUUACUAACUUCAAUAACAUGCAAAACGUUUAUCGCUAAGAAUAUUUUAUUUUCGGUGGGGUUUUUUUCAAAUGAAAUUCACAUUUGUACAUUUUUGAAGAGUUGAGGUAUUGAUUUUCCUGUGUGUUGUUUUUGUUUGUGAUAAGUAAAUGUUUAAAUUGCUUUUGACAGCUAGCACUGAUAAUUCUUUUAUAAGUAAGCCAUCAAAUACAACUUAAAGUUUGUAGCUGAUCUAUUAAAGUAGAACGAUGCUUCAGAAGCUUUAAAAUAUCUAAAUACACUAAGAAAUAAUCAUUUUUAAUUAUAACGGCCAUUUGUCACAUUGUUUCAAGUUGUUCUGACUACCGUAAGGAUCCCUUGUAUUCUGUGUUUCAAAGACAUUACCAAUUUUUCACGUCUCUGCUUGUGUUACUUCAUCGGAGAGUUCAUUCAGAUCCUCCUCGGGUUGACUACCUACAAAAAAAAUCCUGAGGAGUUCUGGAUGCGGAGAGCUCUUAGGUGACAGGUCCUAUCAGAUUAUUCUCGGGUCAGUUCCGCCAACCUUGCCUUGACGGAAUUAGCCGAGAAGUUGUGCUUGUUAUUGUAUUUUCACAUUCGACUUGUUUUGCACCCCUUCAAUUUCUGGAUUCUCUUCUUUUUCUUCAAAACUGUGCGUAUGUUUUUGAAUAGUGAUUAUUGAAUUUUGGCCCAUAUUGGUAAGAAUGGAAAUAUUGCUACAUGCUCUUUUUAAUUAAUGAUGUAAAAAACAUCCUGGAGUUCAUAGAACACCAGAUUUCAUUGCUUUUGAAAUUCAAAAUGUUCUUUACAUUUCUAUCGUAAAUUUACCAAUGUGUAUGGCUGAAAACUGCCUAAGCUUGGCGUAGUAGUAAUUUGACGAAUGUAUAAAUCUAUUUUGUUAUAAUAAACGUUACUUGGUUGUUAAUAA